AUUUUAUUCAGACAACAGUAAAGUUAAAGAGAAACCAGACUUUCCGUAAUUAAUAUUUCAACAAUUUAAAAAACAAUCAGGAUUUUAAAAAACACGUCAAGGUCUGAUUAGUUUGGACUCCUUCCCCAUGAACUCAAACUCGCUCACACCAGAUGAUCAGUGCGGUCAGCAGCCUUAGCAGGUCUGGAUCUUAAUUUCUUAUCCUCCUCCGGACAGAAAUCCCAGAGAGUCUCCAAGAGGUCCAGGUCAGGACCACAGACUGUAUAUACUAUGGACAACUUGGUUCCUCCUCCCGCCUGUAUACGGAUUUGAAGCCAAAAAUGUCUCGGUAAUUCCAGGAUUUUUCUUCAUUUCAUGAAACCAGCGCUGUGCAGUAGCGUUGUGGGCAUUCGGCGGGAGAGUCACUGUGAUGAUGCUCGGCUCAAACAGCGUAUCCCCCAGGUGAGCUACGCAAUCCCUGAAUGCCAAUAGGCUGUAUCAAGUGUCAAUCAAUAGAAAACAUGAACCCACUAAUAACUUUUAAAAAUGGAGCUGUACAGAAAAAAGAGGACUUGAGCACAAACCAGUCUGACAGUAACUACAUGUCAACAUCACAACCAGGGGGGAGAAACAUUUAUAUUAUGUGUCAUUAAUUUAUAAAGGAGGCGGGAUUUAUGACCUAUACUGCAGACCGUUACCAGAGGGCACUGUUCUGAGAGUGGCUUCACCUAGAGAGGAGGCAGACAGCGUCCAUUUCUAGAUACAGUAUAUGGUCAGGACAGUCAGACACAAGAGGG